GACGAACGCUGGCGGCGCGCUUAACACAUGCAAGUCGAACGGAAAGGCCUGCUUUCCCUUGUGGAUUGCGGGUACUCGAGUGGCGAACGGGUGAGUAACACGUGAGUGAUCUGCCCCCAACUUGGGUAUAAGCCUGGGAAACUGGGUCUAAUUCCCGAUAGGACUGCAGGGUGGUGCCUGUGGUGGAAAACGAUUUUCUAGUGGUUGGGGAUGAGCUCGCGGCCUAUCAGCUUGUUGGUGGGGUAAUGGCCUACCAAGGCGGCGACGGGUAGCCGGCCUGGGAGGGUGGACGGCCACAUUGGGACUGAGAUACGGCCCAGACUCCCACGGGAGGCAGCAGUGGGGAAUAUUGCACAAUGGGCGGAAGCCUGAUGCAGCGACGCCGCGUGGGGGAUGACGGCCUUCGGGUUGUAAACUCCUUUCGACCGCGAGGAAGCCACCUGGUUGGAAGGGUGGUGACGGUAGUGGUAGAAGAAGCACCGGCUAACUACGUG
rnacentral:rRNA from 1 species